rnacentral:misc_RNA from 1 species
GAUGAAGAACGUAGCGAAAUGCGAUAAGUAAUGUGAAUUGCAGAAUUCAGUGAAUCAUCGAAUCUUUGAACGCACCUUGCGCUCCUUGGUAUUCCGAGGAGCACGCCUGUUUGAGUGUCAUUAAUAUAUCAACCUCUUCAGCUUAUGCUUGUUGAGUGUUGGAUGGUGGGGGUUUGCUGGUGUCUUAUGAAGUCAGCUCCUCUGAAAUGCAUUAGCGGAACAAUUUGUUGACCGUUCAUUGGUGUGAUAAAAAUAUCUACGCUAUUGACGUCAGUCAGUUCAGCUUCUAACAGUCCAUUGACUUGGACAAAUUUUUCAUUAAUGUGACCUCAAAUCAGGUAGGACUACCCGCUGAACUUAAGCAUAUCAAUAAGCGGAGGA